rnacentral:tRNA from 1 species
AUUUACAUAGUUUAAUAAUAAAACAUUACAUUUUCACUGUAAAAAUAAGAAUUUUUUUUUGUAAAUU